GGGAGACUAGCGUGUUAAGGUAGGCACAUCGGUCUGUAAAACCGAAGGCUUCGGCUCCGAGUGGGUUCAAUUCCCUCGUCUCCCACCA
rnacentral:tRNA from 1 species